rnacentral:rRNA from 1 species
UGGUGGCGAUAGCGAAGAGGUCACACCCGUUCCCAUACCGAACACGGAAGUUAAGCUCUUUAGCGCCAAUGGUAGUUGGGACUUUGUCCCUGUGAGAGUAGGA